AGUUUAUAUCAGUAAGCAUCCACCUUUUGCUUUGGGUAUUGCCAAACCUCUAGGUUCAUUUAUGGUUUAAUUUAUUUUUGUUCUUAAAAUGUCUUAUCAAGUUUUAGGUAACUCCAAUACCCACUAUUUAAUUAGAAUAGAAUAGAAUAGAAUAGAAUAGAAUAGAAUAGAAUGCCUUUAUUGUCACUAUACAGUUGGACAAUGAGAUACAGUCAAAGUCAGUUAGUCAGUAUGCUUUUAUUUUGAUGUAUUGUUGUUCUCGUACUGCAGUAAAACUGUGAAUGUAGGACUUUGGUAGGUACUUGUACUCUGCAGUAUUACCACUUGUAUUUACUACGUGUUUCCACGGCUCCAGGAGCAGCAGCGUGCCGCCCCCUGUGUUACUAUCAGUAGUUUGCGCCAGUCGGAGCCACGCAUGCGCAGCGAGUGCGGGCGCAGCUUCGCCGUGGUUUCGGUUGAGAAUUCUUGGCAACGUCUCGCUCGGUGAACAGGCAGCAGACCGUCGGGCAACGGCUGUUUCCACAAUGUCUGGAGGAUUAUUUUAACGGAGAUGGAAGUGAGCGGAAACCGUGGAGCAGCGAAAGAGUGAAAAACCGGGCCGCCUCUGCCUACACAGUGACAUCAGACGUCACCACAAGCUUCGCCUGCAUAGCUGAGGGCAGAAAAGAUCUGCAUCAGACAUCAUCCAAGAAGAAGCACAAGAAGAAGACGAGGAGGAGAACGACCUGGUUCCAGAUUGGAUGGACCAGUGAAGUCUUUCCCACCCUCCCCGUUAAAAGCAAUGUUUUUGGGAGCUGGAGGUCGUAACACCAUCAGCAGAGUGCGUGUGGGGCCCCUCCGCUCCCUCUUCCCCAGCACCCCUCCCGAUAUGGGAUGCCAGCCCCCUGCCCCCCUGCC
rnacentral:lncRNA from 1 species